GACAUCUCGGAGAUCGAUUCGUCGAGGAAGGUUUCUAUUUCCUGGGGCCACGGGUUGUUGCCUGAUGCAGGGCAACGGGAUUUGAAGGGGGUUUCGAGCCAUUCGUUGAGGACUU